rnacentral:rRNA from 1 species
UACGGGGGGGGCAAGCGUUGUUCGGAAUUACUGGGCGUAAAGGGCGCGUAGGCGCCUGCUAAGUCGGAUGUGAAAUCCCUCGGCUCAACCGAGGAACUGCAUCCGAUACUGGCGGGCUUGAAUCGGGAGAGGGAUGUGGAAUUCCAGGUGUAGCGGUGAAAUGCGUAGAUAUCUGGAGGAACACCGGUGGCGAAGGCGGCAUCCUGGACCGGUAUUGACGCUGAGGCGCGAAAAGCUAGGGGAGCAAACGGGG